UUACGGCCAUAUCACGUUGAAACACCGGUUCAUAUAUGAUCACCGAAAUUAAGUAAAGUCGAGCCUGGUCAGUGCUUAGACGGAUGACCGCUUGGGAAGACGCUG